GGGCGCAUGGCGUAGGGGUUAUCGCGUUCGCUUUGCAUAAGCGAGAAUAAUGAUCAUUGCGAAAGGUCUCCGGUUCAAAUCCGGAUGUGUCCA